UAGGGAAUCUUCGGCAAUGGACGAAAGUCUGACCGAGCAACGCCGCGUGAGUGAAGAAGGUUUUCGGAUCGUAAAACUCUGUUGUUAGAGAAGAACAAGGACGUUAGUAACUGAACGUCCCCUGACGGUAUCUAACCAGAAAGCCACGGCUAACUACGUGCCAGCAGCCGCGGUAAUACGUAGGUGGCAAGCGUUGUCCUGAUUUAUUGGGCGUAAAGCGAGCGCAGGCGGUUUCUUAAGUCAGAUGUGAAAGCCCCCGGCUCAACCGGGGAGGGUCAUUGGAAACUGGGAGAAUUGAGUGCAGAAGAGGAGAGUGGAAUUCCAUGUGUAGCGGUGAAAUGCAUAGAUAUAUGGAGGAAAACCAGUGGCGAAGGCGGGUCUCUGGUCUGUAACUGACGCUGAGGCUCGAAAGCGUGGGGAGCAAACAGG
rnacentral:rRNA from 1 species